rnacentral:rRNA from 1 species
GUGAGGAAUAUUGGUCAAUGGGCGGGAGCCUGAACCAGCCAAGUCGCGUGAAGGAAGAAGGAUCUAUGGUUCGUAAACUUCUUUUGCAGGGGAAUAAAGUGUAGGACGUGUCCUGUUUUGUAUGUACCCUGAGAAUAAGGAUCGGCUAACUCCGUGCCAGCAGCCGCGGUAAUACGGAGGAUCCGAGCGUUAUCCGGAUUUAUUGGGUUUAAAGGGUGCGUAGGUGGUUUGAUAAGUCAGCGGUGAAAGUUUGCAGCUUAACUGUAAAAAUGCCGUUGAAACUGUCGGACUUGAGUGUAAAUGAGGUAGGCGGAAUGCGUGGUGUAGCGGUGAAAUGCAUAGAUAUCACGCAGAACUCCGAUUGCGAAGGCAGCUUACUAAGCUACAACUGACACUGAAGCACGAAAGCGUGGGGAUCAAACAGGAUUAGAAACCCCUGUAGUCC